rnacentral:rRNA from 1 species
CCUACGGGAGACAGCAGUGAGGAAUAUUGGUCAAUGGCCGGGAGGCUGAACCAGCCAAGUCGCGUGAGGGAAGACGGCCCUACGGGUUGUAAACCUCUUUUGUCAGGGAGCAAGGUGCAGGUCGGGACCUGCUGUGAGAGUACCUGAAGAAAAAGCAUCGGCUAACUCCGUGCCAGCAGCCGCGGUAAUACGGAGGAUGCGGACGUUAUCCGGAUUUAUUGGGUUAAAAGGGGGCGCAGGCGGAGGCACAAGUCAGCGGUAAAAUCGCGGGGCGCAACCCCGCUCCGCCGUUGAAACUGUGUGCCUUGAGUGCGCGAAGGGUAGGCGGAAUGCGUGGUGUAGCGGUGAAAUGCAUAGAUAUCACGCAGAACUCCGAUCGCGAAGGCAGCCUACCGGCGCGCAACUGACGCUCAUGCACGAAAGCGUGGGUAUCGAACAGGAUUAGAUACCCUUGUAGUC